GAUGAAGAACGCAGCGAAAUGCGAUAAGUAAUGUGAAUUGCAGAAUUCAGUGAAUCAUCGAAUCUUUGAACGCACCUUGCGCCCUUUGGCUAUUCCGAAGGGCAUGCCUGUUUGAGUAUCGUGAACACCUCAACUCUCAUGGUUUGCCAUGAUGAGCUUGGACUUGGGGGUUUUGCUGGCCUUCGGUCGGCUCCUCUCAAACGGAUCAGCUUUCCAGUGUUUGGUGGCGUCACGGGUGUGAUAACUAUAUACGCCUGUGGUUUUCUGCCAGAUAACCUUCAGCGAUGGAGGUUCGCUGGGGCUCAUAAAUGUCUCUCUUCAGUGGAGACAGCUUUUUGGACGUUUGAUCUCAAAUCAGGUAGGACUACCCGCUGAACUUAAGCAUAUCAAUAAGCGGAGGA
rnacentral:misc_RNA from 1 species